rnacentral:rRNA from 1 species
CGAAGGGGGCUAGCGUUGUUCGGAAUUACUGGGCGUAAAGGGUGCGUAGGUUGUAUGGUUAGUUAGUGGUGAAAGCCCAGGGCUUAACUCUGGAAUUGCCAUUAAAACUGCCAUGCUAGAGAGUGAUAGAGGUGAGUGGAAUUUCUAGUGUAGGAGUGAAAUCCGUAGAUAUUAGAAGGAACAUCGAUGGCGAAGGCAGCUCACUGGGUCACAUCUGACACUGAGGCACGAAAGCGUGGGUAGCAAACAGGAUUAGAUACCCUGGUAGUCCACGCCCUAAACGAUGGAUGCUAGAUGUCGGGACAUUAGUUUCGGCGUCGUAGUUAACGCGUUAAGCAUCCCGCCUGGGGAGUACGGUCGCAAGAUUA